GAAACCUGACAGCCAUGCCGCGUGCAGGAUGAAGGCCUUCUGGGUUGUAAACUGCCUUUUAUCUGGGAAAAAAAACGCCCAUGCGUGGGAAACUGACGGUACUAGAUGAAUAAGCACCGGCUAACUCCGUGCCAGCAGCCGCGGUUAAUACGGAGGGUGCAAGCGUUGUCCGGAUUUAUUGGGUUUAAAGGGUGCGUAGGCGGCCCGUUAAGUCCGUGGUGAAAGCCUCCAGCUCAACUGGAGAACUGCCAUGGAUACUGGCGGGCUUGAGUACAGACGAGGUUGGCGGAAUUGAUUGUGUAGCGGUGAAAUGCAUAGAUACAAUCAAGAACUCCGAUUGCGUAGGCAGCUUACUAGGCUGUAACUGACGCUGAGGCACGAAAGCGUGGGGAGCGAACAGGAUUAGAUACCCUGGUAGUCCACGCUGUAAACGAUGAUUACUCGAUGUUGGCGAUAAACUGUCAGCGUCUUAGCGAAAGCGUUAAGUAAUCCACCUGGGGAGUACGCCCGCAAGGGUGAAACUCAAAG
rnacentral:rRNA from 1 species